rnacentral:rRNA from 1 species
AGAGUUUGAUCCUGGCUCAGAGCGAACGCUGGCGGCAGGCUUAACACAUGCAAGUCGAACGGGCUCUUCGGAGCUAGUGGCAGACGGGUGAGUAACGCGUGGGAACGUGCCUUUCGGUUCGGAAUAACUCAGGGAAACUUGAACUAAUACCGGAUACGCCCUUCGGGGGAAAGAUUUAUCGCCGAAAGAUCGGCCCGCGUCUGAUUAGCUAGUUGGUGAGGUAAUGGCUCACCAAGGCGACGAUCAGUAGCUGGUCUGAGAGGAUGAUCAGCCACAUUGGGACUGAGACACGGCCCAAACUCCUACGGGAGGCAGCAGUGGGGAAUAUUGGACAAUGGGCGCAAGCCUGAUCCAGCCAUGCCGCGUGAGUGAUGAAGGCCUUAGGGUUGUAAAGCUCUUUUGUCCGGGAAGAUAAUGACUGUACCGGAAGAAUAAGCCCCGGCUAACUUCGUGCCAGCAGCCGCGGUAAUACGAAGGGGGCUAGCGUUGCUCGGAAUCACUGGGCGUAAAGGGCGCGUAGGCGGACUCUUAAGUCGGGGGUGAAAGCCCAGGGCUCAACCCUGGAAUUGCCUUCGAUACUGGGAGUCUUGAGUUCGGAAGAGGUUGGUGGAACUGCGAGUGUAGAGGUGAAAUUCGUAGAUAUUCGCAAGAACACCGGUGGCGAAGGCGGCCAACUGGUCCGAUACUGACGCUGAGGCGCG